rnacentral:rRNA from 1 species
AGAGUUUGAUCAUGGCUCAGAACGAACGCUGGCGGCGUGGAUAAGACAUGCAAGUCGAGCGGGAUUUUUUCUUGUAGCAAUACAGGGAAAAGUCUAGCGGCGAACGGGUGCUUAACACGUGGGCAAUCUGCCAGGAAGUGGGGGAUAGCUCGCCGAAAGGCGAAUUAAUACCGCAUGUGAUAAGAGUGGACAUCCAUUCGAAAUCAAAGUCGGGGCAACCUGACGCUUCUUGAGGAGCCCGCGGCCUAUCAGCUAGUUGGUGAGGUAACGGCCCACCAAGGCUUAGACGGGUAGCUGGUCUGAGAGGACGACCAGCCACACUGGGACUGAGACACGGCCCAGACACCUACGGGUGGCAGCAGUCGAGAAUUUUUCUCAAUGGGGGAAACCCUGAAGGAGCGACGCCGCGUGGAGGAUGAAGGUCUUCGGAUUGUAAACUCCUGUCAUUGGGGAACAAUGCGUAAAUAUUAACUGUAUUUGCGUUGAUAGUACCCGAAGAGGAAGAGACGGCUAACUCUGUGCCAGCAGCCGCGGUAAUACAGAGGUCUCAAGCGUUGUUCGGAUUCAUUGGGCGUAAAGGGUGCGUAGGCGGCGCGGUAAGUCGGGUGUGAAAUCUCGGAGCUUAACUCCGAAACUGCAUUCGAUACUGCCGUGCUUGAGGACUGGAGAGGAGACUGGAAUUUACGGUGUAGCGGUGAAAUGCGUAGAUAUCGUAAGGAAGACCAGUGGCGAAGGCGGGUCUCUGGACAGUUCCUGACGCUGAGGCACGAAGGCCAGGGGAGCAAACGGGAUUAGAUACCCUAGUAGUCC